AGCGUACACGGUGGAUGCCCUGGCAGUCAGAGGCGAUGAAGGACGUGCUAAUCUGCGAAAAGCGUCGGUAAGGUGAUAUGAACCGUUAUAACCGGCGAUGUCCGAAUGGGGAAACCCAGUGUGAUUCGUCACACUAUCGUUAACUGAAUACAUAGGUUAACGAGGCGAACCGGGGGAACUGAAACAUCUAAGUACCCCGAGGAAAAGAAAUCAACCGAGAUUCCCCCAGUAGCGGCGAGCGAACGGGGAGCAGCCCAGAGUCUGAAUCAGCUUGUGUGUUAGUGGAACGGUCUGGAAAGUCCGACGGUACAGGGUGAUAGUCCCGUACACCAAAAUGCACAGGCUGUGAACUCGAAGAGUAGGGCGGGACACGUGGUAUCCUGUCUGAAUAUGGGGGGACCAUCCUCCAAGGCUAAAUACUCCUGACUGACCGAUAGUGAACCAGUACCGUGAGGGAAAGGCGAAAAGAACCCCGGCGAGGGGAGUGAAAAAGAACCUGAAACCGUGUACGUACAAGCAGUGGGAGCACCUUCGGGUGUGACUGCGUACCUUUUGUAUAAUGGGUCAGCGACUUAUAUUCUGUAGCAAGGUUAACCGUAUAGGGGAGCCGCAGGGAAACCGAGUCUUAACUGGGCGUUAAGUUGCAGGGUAUAGACCCGAAACCCGGUGAUCUAGCCAUGGGCAGGUUGAAGGUUGGGUAACACUAACUGGAGGACCGAACCGACUAAUGUUGAAAAAUUAGCGGAUGACUUGUGGCUGGGGGUGAAAGGCCAAUCAAACCGGGAGAUAGCUGGUUCUCCCCGAAAGCUAUUUAGGUAGCGCCUCGUGAAUUCAUCUUCGGGGGUAGAGCACUGUUUCGGCUAGGGGGUCAUCCCGACUUACCAACCCGAUGCAAACUACGAAUACCGAAGAAUGUUAUCACGGGAGACACACGGCGGGUGCUAACGUCCGUCGUGAAGAGGGAAACAACCCAGACCGCCAGCUAAGGUCCCAAAGUCAUGGUUAAGUGGGAAACGAUGUGGGAAGGCACAGACAGCCAGGAUGUUGGCUUAGAAGCAGCCAUCAUUUAAAGAAAGCGUAAUAGCUCACUGGUCGAGUCGGCCUGCGCGGAAGAUGUAACGGGGCUAAACCAUGCACCGAAGCUGCGGCAGCGACACUAUGUGUUGUUGGGUAGGGGAGCGUUCUGUAAGCCUGCGAAGGUGUGCUGUGAGGCAUGCUGGAGGUAUCAGAAGUGCGAAUGCUGACAUAAGUAACGAUAAAGCGGGUGAAAAGCCCGCUCGCCGGAAGACCAAGGGUUCCUGUCCAACGUUAAUCGGGGCAGGGUGAGUCGACCCCUAAGGCGAGGCCGAAAGGCGUAGUCGAUGGGAAACAGGUUAAUAUUCCUGUACUUGGUGUUACUGCGAAGGGGGGACGGAGAAGGCUAUGUUAGCCGGGCGACGGUUGUCCCGGUUUAAGCAUGUAGGCUGGUUGUCCAGGCAAAUCCGGAUAAUCAAGGCUGAGGUGUGAUGACGAGGCACUACGGUGCUGAAGUAACAAAUGCCCUGCUUCCAGGAAAAGCCUCUAAGCAUCAGGUAACAUCAAAUCGUACCCCAAACCGACACAGGUGGUCAGGUAGAGAAUACCAAGGCGCUUGAGAGAACUCGGGUGAAGGAACUAGGCAAAAUGGUGCCGUAACUUCGGGAGAAGGCACGCUGGUGUGUAGGUGAAGUCCCUGCGGAUGGAGCUGAGACCAGUCGAAGAUACCAGCUGGCUGCAACUGUUUAUUAAAAACACAGCACUGUGCAAACACGAAAGUGGACGUAUACGGUGUGACGCCUGCCCGGUGCCGGAAGGUUAAUUGAUGGGGUUAUCCGUAAGGAGAAGCUCUUGAUCGAAGCCCCGGUAAACGGCGGCCGUAACUAUAACGGUCCUAAGGUAGCGAAAUUCCUUGUCGGGUAAGUUCCGACCUGCACGAAUGGCGUAAUGAUGGCCAGGCUGUCUCCACCCGAGACUCAGUGAAAUUGAACUCGCUGUGAAGAUGCAGUGUACCCGCGGCAAGACGGAAAGACCCCGUGAACCUUUACUAUAGCUUGACACUGAACAUUGAGCCUUGAUGUGUAGGAUAGGUGGGAGGCUUUGAAGCGUGGACGCCAGUCUGCGUGGAGCCAACCUUGAAAUACCACCCUUUAAUGUUUGAUGUUCUAACGUUGGCCCCUGACCGGGGUUGCGGACAGUGUCUGGUGGGUAGUUUGACUGGGGCGGUCUCCUCCCAAAGCGUAACGGAGGAGCACGAAGGUUAGCUAAUCCUGGUCGGACAUCAGGAGGUUAGUGCAAUGGCAUAAGCUAGCUUGACUGCGAGCGUGACGGCGCGAGCAGGUGCGAAAGCAGGUCAUAGUGAUCCGGUGGUUCUGAAUGGAAGGGCCAUCGCUCAACGGAUAAAAGGUACUCCGGGGAUAACAGGCUGAUACCGCCCAAGAGUUCAUAUCGACGGCGGUGUUUGGCACCUCGAUGUCGGCUCAUCACAUCCUGGGGCUGAAGUAGGUCCCAAGGGUAUGGCUGUUCGCCAUUUAAAGUGGUACGCGAGCUGGGUUUAGAACGUCGUGAGACAGUUCGGUCCCUAUCUGCCGUGGGCGCUGGAGAAUUGAGGGGGGCUGCUCCUAGUACGAGAGGACCGGAGUGGACGCAUCACUGGUGUUCGGGUUGUCAUGCCAAUGGCACUGCCCGGUAGCUAAAUGCG
rnacentral:rRNA from 1 species